GUAAGACAUCUUUGUGUUUCCUACUCAAAUGAUGGUUACUUAAACAGUCUAUUAAUGAAGGACUAUAUCUGUUCUUAUCUUCUUUGCUUCUUCCUGCUUUUUCAUUUUUAUUACAAAUUCUCAUUAAAUUCACUACACUUAAGCAGAAAGGAGAAGUUGAAUCAAUCAGUAACAUAUUUUUACAGCUGCAGAAAGCAAUAUAAGUUUGGUUAAACCUUAUCUUGAAGUAGUGCUCAGCCCAUGGAAGUGCAGUUACUUAACACAACAAGACAGGGGAAAGAGGGCUCUUGUGUAGAGUUACAGCUGUCAAGAAUCUAACCUGGAGAGCAGAGAAUAGAAGGGGUUGUGUUUCAAAGGACCAUGGAAUCAUUAGAAUUCUUGGAGUUGGAAGGGAUCUUUAAAGGUCGUCUUGUCCAACUCUCCUCCACAAUGAACAUGGACACCACAGCUAGAUCAGGUUGCCCUGGGCCUGAUCUGGUCUUACCUUCGAAGUCUCCAGGGACAGAGCAUUCACAGCAUGUCUGGGUAACCUGUCUCAGUGCCUCACCACCAUCACUGUAAAAGACCUUUCUUAUAUCCAACUACUGAAAUCUACCCCCUUUACUCCUGAAACAAUUUACCCUUAUUUUAUCAGAACGGUUUCCAAUUUAAAGAAAAAUUUCUUGUCUCUGCUCCUAUAUAGCUCAUUUCUUUGUAAUUUCAAAGCCUUAAGUAUUAAUCAUAUCUCUAUUUGGUUGGAGUUACACAACUAAUUUCUGAAAUCUGAGCAGAGAUCACAUGUGUAUCCAGAAGGAAAUGUCUGCAUUAGGUAUUGUUUUGCUCAGAAAUGGAGCUAUUCCGUCUCUGCUCUGCAGCUACCUUUGUUUUGAAAUUCAGGGUUAAAAACCCACGCUGAACAAUGGAGGAAAAAGAAACCCACAAUCUGAUGCGUAAGAAACUGUGAAAUAAAGGCAUUUGUUAUAAAGUUGUUAUAAAG
ensembl:lncRNA